rnacentral:ncRNA from 1 species
AGAGUAGGAAUCCGAGCGUAAUUCUUAUUUCAGCUUUGAGAGGCAGAGAAAAUUGACGCUUUAAAAAGCAAGAUAAGUAUGAGUGCCGCAAAGACGGGGAGUUGCUUUGCGGACGAAAUGGCAGCGUAAUAUAUGUGCUGUCUGCGGUUCGGCUUCCGCAUCCCGCU